AUUCCAGCUCCAAUAGCGUAUAUUAAAGUUGUUGCAGUUAAAAAGCUCGUAGUUGGAUUUCUGGCGGGAGCGACCGGUCGGCGCUUAACGGCGUGUGCACUGGAGUUGUCUCUUGCCAUCCUUGAGGAGAACGUGUCUGGCAUUAAGUUGUCGGGCUUGGGAUCCUCAUCGUUUACUGUGAAAAAAUUAGAGUGUUUAAAGCAGGCAUUUGCUGUGAAUACAUUAGCAUGGAAUAAUAAGAUAGGACUUUGGUGCUAUUUUGUUGGUUUGCGUACCAAGGUAAUGAUUAAUAGGGAUAGUUGGGGGUAUUCGUAUUCAAUUGUCAGAGGUGAAAUUCUUGGAUUUAUGGAAGACGAACAACUGCGAAAGCAUUUACCAAGGAUGUUUUCAUUA
rnacentral:rRNA from 1 species